UGGGCAACCUGCCCUCAGCUCUGGGAUAACUCCGGGAAACCGGGGCUAAUACCGGAUACGACCUUCCCUCGCAUGGGGGUCGGUGGAAAGUUCUUCGGCUGAGGAUGGGCCCGCGGCCUAUCAGCUUGUUGGUGGGGUGAUGGCCUACCAAGGCGACGACGGGUAGCCGGCCUGAGAGGGCGACCGGCCACACUGGGACUGAGACACGGCCCAGACUCCUACGGGAGGCA
rnacentral:rRNA from 1 species